GUUGCCGGUGAAUACGCUGUGAGUACUUUGAACUAAUAUACAACUGUUAUAUUUCUGAUUGACAUUGACUUCGCGUAAGUAUACAAUAAAUGCUAAUAUGGAAAAAGGCAGUCGGCUAACUAACUUGCGGACUAGUUGCGUAGUAGUUUAAAGCUAGUUGAUUUCACUACGGUGUAUUUAAAAAUAUACUGCAUGUAUAUAUACAUUGUUUACGCGGGAAAGUUCUGCCGCACUUUAUUUAUUGGGUUUCUUUUCGCUUCGCAUUUUUUGGUUCUUCUAUUUGAACAACAACGAACAAACAUCCGUGGUGUGCUUGGCUGUCAUUCAUUUAAUUGCGAAAGCUGUAUAGAAGUCACCGGAUGAUUUAGCGCAAAACUAAGCGGUAGUGUGACAGCAUCUACCAUAUAUACAAGUACAUAUGUGGAUAGAGCUAGUCAAGUGAGCUAGGCGGCCAGCUAACUAGCAAAUGCCAGCUGCUUGCUCGCAUCAGCAGACAUAUUUAUGUGGGCAUUAACGUGAAAACAUAAACGUUCAGACAAACGAUUGCAGAACAAGUUGCACGACAAAAAUCCUAUAUACACAUAUAUACAUAUAUGUACACAUGUAUGCGGCAAGUAGACAGGCGUUAUAAAUGCGACGAAUACACAGUAACAUUGACAACAAAGCCAAUGAUCAUGCGGACAGACAACCAACCGCCAGUCAAUCAAUCGAAUAAUAAAUGCUGAGCGCUUGAAUGCAAGCUCCAUGCGCGGCUGUUGCCAGCGCAUUGCCAGCGGUGUGAAUGUUGGCGACACAGAUACUCAACUUAAGCCAAUGAACUAAAUUAAAUUGCUAUUGCGAAUUCAUUACAGCUAUUUUUAGCGACAAUGCUUUCAACGACACAGCAAAAAAAAAGUAAAAAAGUAAUGUGCAACAGCAAACGGCUGCAGCAGUGGCAACAAAGUUGUUGCGCCUCACGAACAGCAGUUGUGUUGAUUGGAGUUAGCGCCGCAUUGCAGUGCUCAAGUGCAGCCAACCGAAGAAAGGAAAGCCUCCGCUGACAACGUGGACUUCAGCUGUUUGUUGAAAUGACCGUAAAGUAACAGCGAUGACAACGAUAUGCAGGCGAAUACUUACAUACAUACAAGUUUAUACAAAUGUAUUGCAUAUUUGUGUAUUGCAGUUGAAAAUUGAUUUGUAUGUGAAAAGUUGAAGUGAUAAAUUAAAUGGUGCUUUUAAAUUGAUGAAGUAGUGGCGGCUUUGCGUAAUUAAGAGGCUUUCUUAAAGAUUCUAGAAGUACCAUAUAAAUAUGUACAUAACCACAGCGAAACUACAAAAUAACCUAACAUCACUUAUCAUGGUGCUGUCGUAAAGUGUUGAUUUGCAGCAUUGAAAUACCAAUUGUGUAUGUAAAAAGUUUGUGAAAGUGCAGUUAUAUUAUAUAUAUAGAAAACAUUUAUAUAUAGAAACUUCAAAACGACGAGAAAUUACUGUUGUCACUAAAGGGCUCCUUAUCGCAGCGGAAUCAAUGCUCCACACAAGUAACGCGCUUUGUGGACUUCGGUCAGAUUACUAUUGCAGACUGCAUGAAAAAAUUUUGGGAGACGGAUGUUUUUAACCGGAAAAAAGGGUCUGGAAGGGUCUAAAAAAACGACAGUCGCUCACGACAGGCUGAUCUGACGGUCUUGUCGACUGGAUCGCUUUCAAUACUUAUCAGAUAUAAUUGUAUCAACACCAAAACGGCGUCAUCUUUCGACACGAUUCUGCGUGCGACAUGGCGUCACAGUGCCAACAUCAUAAUUUCUCGAUUUUAUGAAUGAAAAAGGGAUAAAGCAUUUGGCAUGACCCGGCAACAUUCCCGGUUCAUACGCAAUAGUAAAUCUGUGACGGAUUAUUAAGAAACAGCUCGCCGCACAGAAGCCGAAGAACAAACAAGAACUGGCUUCCGCACUUUUGAAGACGUGGUAUGAUGACAUGGACUUUGGAUUAGUGCAAAAGCUUAUAUCAUCAAUGACAGCAAGGAUUAGAGCGGUGAUUAAAUAAAAAAAAAAAAAAAUGCAGCAAAGUAUUAAUAGAGGUAUUUCCCACUACAUAGAGUAAAAUUAAGAAAUAAAAACAAACACUGAUUGUGAUAUUACUAUUUUAAAGAAUUUUGUGAUCAAGUUUGUAGAAUAUUACUUAUUUUAUUAAUAUGAUC